GUUGUUGCACAGCGUCAGAGUGACGUCUUCACACACUCCAACUGUUUAUAUUCUCGGUUUUUUCUUCAAUAAAAAUAAAUUGUACUCAAGUACCGUGCAGAAGAAAGCAUAGCCAGUAAUAAGUAAACUGUACAAUAUUCAUGCUAUCUAAUCAUCAUCGUGAUAUGACACAUUUGUGAGUUGAGUUUCAGAAGUACAACAGAAAUGCUCACUAAUAAACGAUUCUUACAGAUUUGUGAAUACUGUUGGAGCAAAAUUACAAUGUAAGCUAAUAAAACUUUCACCCGAGCUCAUGAAAAACGGCUUGUUUCUAUUUUUUCACCGUAUAUAGAACAUAGUAAACCUCCCCAAACUGCCCUGUAUACUCUUGCCAGUAUAAAACCAACAAAUCCAUGCAAAAAAAACGUUUUUUGCAAUUCUGGACAGGCCUAAAAGUGCUAAAUAUGCAGCUGGGUGUGCCUAAUGUAUUGGUGAGAGCAGCGCAUACUCCAGCUUUUUUUUUUUUUUUUGCAUACUCCAGCUUACUUGCGGGAAACUUCCCACAUCCUGACGUCAAGCCAACAUGUGAUCUUUUCUUCCCGUGCUGCCGCACACCCCGACGCAGUCACGCAGAAGCUCUUCAGUGACUCGUCACCGAAAGACUUCAGCUGCCGUGGUAGCUGGCCUCACUCUUUCCUUCCCUUCAGUAUGGAUCCACUAAACUUUACACGAAGCCCGCUCCGACAUCAGUGUAGUGCAAAUUGAUCCAUCGAGCAUAAUGAAGUCAAAAUCCAGAUCGUGGGACUGAUACAAUCUUGUAGCCAGAAAGGAAGAGAAAAAAAAUAAUUGUCAACAUAUUCCACAUGUGGGUUCUUGUUGACAUAAACAGAGACUGUGUUGAUGUUGAAUCUUCUCAAAUAUGAAGAAUCAUUAGGUGAUGCCUGUGCUAUGCAAUUCUAAAAACCUCACAGGGAUAUUCCAUUUCAUUCCAGUUAUUUUUUUAUUCCUGGUAUACAAUGGAAAUAUUUAAACGUGAGCCUGAAACUAGA